UACCUCGAUAAAAAUUGUAACAUAAAAAUAGGAAUUUGUUGGGAACAUGAUACAUUUACACUGUACAUGUGAAUGUGUGUGUAAGCGUCAGAGGCCUUAGUUGGGACAAAAGACAAUAGUCAGUCGUUAGAAGCAUCUAGAAGAGUCGGUUGACAACAAGCGUGUGUGCGAGUAGGAUUUCAAGGUCUUUAGAGUAUAAGAUAAUUACAAUGUGCAAACAAACUCACGCGACACAUGACAAGAAAUCUAUCCACGACUGUGCGUCAGGAAUAAUUAACUUUAACAAAAGAAUAAACAUUGGUAUCUACCCUCUCAAUAAAUUAGGAAUAUUCGAUGUACUUAAGAAAUGUUUACCUACAAAACCAUAUAUUCAUUUACUAUGUUGUAAAACUAAGAAUAACAUCCAAAAUAUUGCGACGAAUCCAACACCUUUAAACAUAUAUACAGAAAUACCACAAACAAUUUAACCAGCUGCCACUUGAACGAAGAAGAUGAAACAAAACACUUGGAACAUAUUCAGAUGAGGAAUACCAAGGCGCGAUUCCACAAAUCCAUAAUGAAGAAACGUUAAGAAUUAGGAGGACCAAAAUAAUUCUAAGGGGGGAAUGUGACGGCUACCGCACCUCAAAUGACCCAGAUAGUCAUCAGAUUUUGUACACGACACCCACAACUUCCAACAUCGCCCCUCAGCGCCUAUACUUUUAGGAUAUAAAAGCCGAGCAUCUACCCAGAAAUCGCAGUCUUGACAAAUCUUGUUGACCCUCGGUUAUACUUCGGAAUUAUAUGCUAACGUUACAUAUUAUAAAUCUAUUGUAUUCUUGUACUUGAUCAAUAAAUAUUGCAAACGAAGAUACAAGAGUUGGAGAUCCUCCUCAUCUCAUCAUUUUUUUAUUUUCUUCUCACGAAUUUUACGUGAUACAAACAUAGUCGAGAAGCAAGAAGGUCACUGGUGAUCGUGGAUUGUUGAUUGUUAAAUAAGUUAUAUUGUUGAACGUCACCGAGUAUUUCUUGGGCACCUUACACCAAACACCAUCUCAUGUAUAUUAUACAAGUCGAAUGACACGAGUCUGAAUUAAAAUAAUAAAUUCAAGAAUCCAAAUAACAAACAGUUUUGUAGCGACACACGAAACGGAGAUAACUUAUCUCAAGCGCUCAUGUUGAUAGGCGCAUCAAUACAGAAAAUGAAAGUAACACGAGAAGUUAAAUUAAUUAUAACAAAUGAAUAUCCAUGACACAUUUCGUUGAUUUUGCAAGAAUAAUUACAAUAAUAAAAUUUUAUUCACUUACAUAAAAAGUCAGG
rnacentral:misc_RNA from 1 species